AUACAUCCACAUCUACCGUUUUGUUGGGUAAAGAGCAAAAAUUUAUGGACGAAAACCUAAUUAAUAGACUGCCAUUUAGGAGGACAACGAUCUUUUUAUGAGGCCCCGGACUUAAUUGCAUAUUUACCUCGAUAUUGUGUCGACAGGUGUUACCUUUGAUGGAGAUCUAACUAUAGCAUUUUAUUGUGUUUCUAUAACUCUUACAUUUCAUUUAAGACACUCGUGACUUAAUCUCGUAUUUAUAAAUAUUCGUUAAAUAUGUAUAACAAGUUUUGAACAAACAACCGAUAGAUACUGUUUUUUUUUUCGUUUUAUUACGAACAAGAUCAUGAUUCUUCUGUAGGCUAUUUAUUGCCCAUUGGUGUAUAUAUAACCUAAAUGUCGCCUACCUUAAGACAUCACAAUAAAAUAUUAAUCCUUUUGGCAAAAUCAAUGUUUUGACAUUGAAACCGGAACGCAAACUUUCAUAAUAGGGUAGAGCUACACAAUGGUACUUGAUUCGUUAUGUUGAGUUGUGAGGUAUUUAACUUUUCUGAUCAAAUAUGCGUGAAAUCAAAUCUAAUGAAGGUAUGUAGAUAGUAGUAAUAAAAUUGCAUACUAUGAAGGUUUCCAAUUGCAGUAAUUGAAGUGGAAGGACCUUUAGAGGUCCGCACGGGUAGGUAACACUAUCCUACUUAAUUUCCUGCCGCGCAGCAUACAUGCGUUUCGGUUAGAGGGGACAUUGUUAGACAUUACUUUAACUUCAUGUUUCUAGGCGGGUAGUGGAAAGUCACAGGAAAAGUAGAAGGAAAACGACAAGCUGAAACGGAGUCAUGAUCCUCACCAAUGAAGGAGCGAUGGAGAAGAAGAAGAAAGUGGAAUCAAAGCUAUGAUUUCUAUGCGCUAUGUAUGUAACACCAAGAAGGCUGUAAACACCUUCACUCAUUUAAUCAGAGAUUGAUAAUAAGUAAUAUUAAAAUAUCAAAUGCGAUAACCUCUCUCAUAUACAAAUAGGUAACAACAAAAGUGGUUCAACACACAUGUAGCCGACAUUUUAAAAAGAAGAACCGCCGUGGAACCGAGUUCUGUCAUAAUAACUCAUUGUGCGGUGCACUCUUGAUAAAAUUGUCGCCUUUAGGGUUGCAGUCAAGUUAAUAAAAAUAGGCACUAAACGAAUAUCUUUAUUAAGAUUAAACAGAAUAUUUUUUUGUAUUCUUCUUAGAACAUUAACCUCUCCUUAACUCACUUUCGUCUAUUUGUGACCAAUACCACGGGUAGGUAUGUUUGUAUUUUUUUUAUGAAUGAGCGAUUACUGGUGGCUGACAAUGGACCUUAUCAGACGGCUUAAUCACUCAAAGAGCAAUGGAGAGGGCUAUGCUCGGAGUUUGACUGCGAAAUCAGAACCAAAAACGAGGAGAUUCUCAGAUGAACCAAGGUAACUGACAUAGCCCGGAGGAUUGCAAGAUUGAAGUGGCAGUGGGCAGGUCACAUUACUCGUAGAACAGAUGGCCGCUGGGGCCGAAAAGUUCUCAAAUGGCGACCGCGUACCGGAAAUUGCAGCGUCGGUAGGCCUCCCAUAAGGUGUGCCGACGACCUAAUCAAAGUCGCGGGAAUCCGCUGAAUGCAGGCUGCGCAAGACCGGUUUUUAUGGCGAACCUUGGGGGAGGCCUGCGUACAGCUUUGAAUGUCGGUGGGCUAAAAAAAAUUGGUACUAAAAUAUUUACAAAGCACUAAAGGGCAGGCUUGAAGGCUUCGCUUUGCAAUAAAUCUUACAUAAAAUCAACACUGAAAUAGUGUGGAACUAUUACGAUACCCUUUGGCUCUUAACUGCUUUCAUCAUCUCUUUUCUCGAAUAGAAUCAGCACUCAUGAUCCUUUAUUAGAGAGCACGCCCUUCCUUCCCGGUCAGUCCUAUUCCUGAUUCUGUGCGGCACUCUAUGCGGCGUCAUUGUCGUUAUAAUUAUUUUGAUUAAAGUAACUUUUAAAAAGAUCCUCUCACAAUUUCGUGUAACAGAACGGAAUGGUCGUCAAUAUUUAUGGACAGAUGCAGACAUAAAAAACUACUUUAAGGUAUUUAUUAAAUUAAAUAAACAGUUGACAACCCCUGCGUUAGGUCCGCUUCCUGGAUGUGUGCAUGCCUUUAUUGUCCACCUUUCAGCAUUCUGAAUAUUUAUGCUUUCUGAAAGUUUUAAAUUGAUCCAGUGGAUUUGUUCCUUUUCGUAGAGUUUAAUAAAGCAUAUAGAAUCUAUGAGAUCCGCAAUCAUUUAUUUAGUGUAAACGUAAAGAAACUUAAUUAAAGUUAUCGUUGAAUACCAAACGUAAAUAAUAAAAUCUGCGCUGAAAACAAAAGUUCGCUCUAUUUUAGCAUUUAAAACCAUAUUAAAAAAUGAAAAAAAAAAAAUUGUAAUAUAAAAUAGCUACAGCAAAUCUUAGAAAAUGUAUUUUGCCUACAUCUCGACACGGAAGCGAAAGCGUUGUGCAAUAUAAUACUAGGACAUUUCUAUACAUUUCUGGUGCCCAGCUCAGUAAGCCACCGCAGAACAGAAGCACCGCAUUGCGACGCCAACGUAAUCCCCUAGGAUCGAUUUCACUAUUGUAAAUGGCAAUAAACUAUGGGUACCGAUAAAGACUUCAGAUAAAGUAAGUAACGCAGUUUUUGUUACUAAAAAAUGUUUUUAGUGACAGCCUUCCUAAAAUAUCGUCUCUAGUAUCUUUAAAAAGUUUUAGAUCCACUAACUCAGACAGUGCUUUGUUUGUAAAUUACGAUUCUGUUUUAAACAUCGGUUUCAUAAAACAAAGCUUGAAUAUUGUUUUUUUUUUGCGAAGGAA